GACGUAGGGCGCGAGCGUUGUCCGGAUUUAUUGGGCGUAAAGAGCUCGUAGGCGGCUUGUUGCGUCAGCUGUGAAAACCCGCAGCUCAACUGUGGGCUUGCAGCUGAUACGGGCAGGCUUGAGUUCGGUAGGGGAGACUGGAAUUCCUGGUGUAGCGGUGAAAUGCGCAGAUAUCAGGAGGAACACCGGUGGCGAAGGCGGCUACCUGGACAGAGUCUGACGCUGAGGCACGAAAGCUAGGGGAGCAAGCAGG
rnacentral:rRNA from 1 species